rnacentral:rRNA from 1 species
AACGAACGCUGGCGGCAUGCCUAACACAUGCAAGUCGAACGAGACCUUCGGGUCUAGUGGCGCACGGGUGCGUAACGCGUGGGAAUCUGCCCUUGGGUUCGGAAUAACAGCGAGAAAUUGCUGCUAAUACCGGAUGAUGACGUAAGUCCAAAGAUUUAUCGCCCAAGGAUGAGCCCGCGUAGGAUUAGCUUGUUGGUGAGGUAAAAGCUCACCAAGGCGACGAUCCUUAGCUGGUCUGAGAGGAUGAUCAGCCACACUGGGACUGAGACACGGCCCAGACUCCUACGGGAGGCAUCAGUGGGGAAUAUUGGACAAUGGGCGAAAGCCUGAUCCAGCAAUGCCGCGUGAGUGAUGAAGGCCUUAGGGUUGUAAAGCUCUUUUACCCGGGAUGAUAAUGACAGUACCGGGAGAAUAAGCCCGGCUAACUCGUGCCAGCAGCCGCGGUAA